AUCUAGCUGACGAGUCCCAAAUGGGAUGAAGUUCACGAAUCCUGGAU
rnacentral:hammerhead_ribozyme from 1 species